ACCACACCCAGCUAAUUUUUUGUAUUUUUUAGUAGAGUCAGGGUUUCACUGUGUUAGCCAGGAUGGUCUCAAUCUCCUGACCUCAAGUUAUCCUCCUCCUGCCUCAGCCUCCCAAAGUGUUGGAAUUAUAGGCCUGAGCUACCACACCGAGGCCACAGGACCACUCUGAAGCUUGGUGUAGCUUCCAGUACUCCACCUGCCCCAUUUCUGGGAUGCAUUAGCUCUUUUGUUGCCAAGACUUUGCUUGCGCUGUGCCCUCCACCCUUUAGACCCUUCCCCUUGUCACCUGCUGGACUUCUCACCGUUCAUGAUCCACCUUGGCUGUCACCCGUCUUCUGUGUAAUUCCAGACCCCUGUGGUGCCAGGUUCAAGCCUCUGGGCAGGGCUCUGUGUUCCCCACUGUGGGGGAAGCAGCAAGGGCUAUAAUCACUGGAGAACCCAGGACCCAGCAGAGGACAGGCACAGGGAGGCGGGAGAUGGUGUGCCCGCAGGAAGCCCUUCCACCUUCCUAGGCAUGCUGAGUCUCCACGGGGUUGGAAGACGGAUGGAGAAAGGACACCCCUUAACCCUGUCCCAGUCCCCCAGGCCUUGAUGACCCUGACCUCAGUAAGGUCAGAAAGCAGAAGGCAGUGGGAUGAGAUGUCAAACUCUGAUUUUUCUCCCAGCCAAGAUCACCAGGGACUGUGGGGCUGCAUCUCUGGCAAGGGGAGAAAAGGACCCAUGGCCUUGACUUCUGCUCCUCUUGGAUAUUAGUGCCCAUCACCGUGUGACUGAGGGCUGAGUGGCUUGCAGGCAUGGACAUAUUUGCUGCCACACAGCUGCAUACAUACCCCAGCUGACUGGAGGCCAUCCCCCUGGGUGAUGAGAGGUGCUGCCUUCCCUCUGGUAGUCCAUGGUAGAGAUGAGGACCGCUAGGAUCUUUUGUUUUUAAGAGACGGGGUCUUGCUAUGUUGCCCAGGCUGGUCUCAAACUUUUGGCCUCAAGUGAUCCUCCUGCCUUGGCCUCCAAAAGUGCUGGGAUUAAGGCAUGAGCCACUACAUCCAGUCAGGGUCUCCUUUUAUUUAUUUUUUUGAGAUGGAGUCUCGCUCAGCCACCUAGGCUAGAGUGCAGUGGCACAAUCUUGGCUCACUGCAACCACCGUCUCCUGGGUUCAAGUGAUUCUCCUGUUUCAGCCUCCUGAGUAGCUGGGAUUACAGGCACCCGUCAUCAUGCCCAGCUAAUUUUUGUAUUUUAGUAGAGACGGGGUUUCACCAUGUUGGCCAGGCUGGUCUUGAACUCCUGAUCUCAAGUGAUCCGCCCACCUUGGCCUCCCAAAGUGCUAGGAUUACAGGCGUGAGCCACCACACCCAGCCCCAGGGUCUCUUUUUAGGGCAGCAGACACAGAGAUUGGGGUCAGUUUUGGGGAGUGGGGCCAGACCCAGAACUCAGCCAAACAAUACUGUAGUCUUGUCCUUGCCUCCUCCCUGACUCCCUGACUCCUAGGGUUGCUAGGACUUGGCUGGCUAUGCCACUGACCAGGCAGCUGGAGUCAGGGCUUGUAUUCUCUACUCAACUGGUUUGCCACUCAGUUUGGGUGGGGUGGGGUGAAAUGAUUCUGGGGAACUGAGAGGACUAAGUUUUCCUGACAUCAGAAGCCAUGGGGCUCCCUGGAACAUGGGACUUCUUCCAGGCCUUGGCAGCCCCUGCAGCCUCGGUGAUCCCUGCUGUAACCCUGGAGAGGGCCCUUUCCCCCUUCUGCACCUGGCAUCUAGGUCUGCACCUACCUGCUGGGACAGGGGGUGGUACAGGGGGGGUGUCUAGGCCUGGGGAACUACCGAGGCAGCCUGCCUGGCUCCUCCUCACUGAGUUUCCCUCUACUCUCCUCUCUCAGGCCUCUCUGACUCUGAAAGCUUGCCUCUCUCUUCCUAGCUGCUCCCCCACCCCCCAAAUGGGUUAAAAAUACCAAAGUUCCCACCACAUCAGUAGCCGGAGCAAUUAUUUCAAGUGGGCCAGGCCCUCUGGGAGGCAGAUCAACUUCAUGGCAGUCUCCACAGGCUGGAGACAACUCACCCCACGCUGGGAGCAUGAGCCUGGGUCCCUGCCCAGCUCUGCAUGUCCUGCUAAGGGUCCUGGGCCUCACAGCUGCAGUUCUCCAUGCGUGGAGACAGAAAGAUGGGGCUUCUUAGGCUGGGAGGGCUCUGGGGAUGCAGCGCCAGGGAGCAUUGAAUUUCUGGUGCUCCUCACCCAACUGCUCCUGAGGGUUGAUGAAUGGUUGAGGUCCAGCCUGGGACAGCUCCAGGCAGCAGGGGAUGCCCAGGAACCAACCUCAUGGAGUCCCUUCAGUUGGGGUGCAGGACACCUGGGCAGCCCCUUCCUGCCUGCAGCCCCCCAUGGCUGGGAAUUUCCCAACCACCAAACACAAGGCUGAAUUGACAGGCCGCCUCCACCAGUGCUGGGACAAUGGAGCCUUAUGCCCUGGAAAUCUGAGCCUGGGUGGGAGGCCGGGGCAGGUGGAGGCCUAGCUGUCUGCACUCAGGGAAGCCCUGCCCCCAGGAUCCCACCCAGACCCACUGCCAAGACGGCACCAGGGCAAUCCUGUCAAGGCCCCGCAUGGCCCACCCAGGGAGGGAGGCACUGGGUGAGUUAGGCAGACAAUGCCAGGCCCUCAAUGGUCCCUCUGUGCAGGGUUCCCCCUCAGGACAGAAGGAAGGAACCAUCUCCCGCCCGCUUCCUGCUGGGCGGGCAUCGGGGCUCUGGCGCUCCUGCUCGCACAUCUGCGGCUCAGCGGGGUCCAGGCCUGGGCCUCUGAAAGAAGGCGGGGACCUGGGUUGGGCGCAGGAUCCUGUUCUCCGUGUCGUCGGCCCUCGCAGGCAGGGGCAGCAGGAAAGGCCCGAGGAACUGGGGCGGGGACCGGGCCUGGGGGGCGCCGAUGUCCUUCCGACCGGGCGGCAGCAGCCUUUCAUCUCCUGCCAGUGCCGGCGGCCGAAGCU
rnacentral:lncRNA from 10 species